rnacentral:rRNA from 1 species
AUGGCCGUCGACUUCGUGGGACGCGGCCACGCCCCCCGUGGCCUCGCCCUCGCGGGCGGGAAGCAGCAGCUGGCCUUCCACGAGGCCGCCGCGGCGGGGCUCAGCAGCCUCGAGCUCCUCGUCUCGGCGCUCUCCCCGCGCGCCGACUGCGCGCCGCCGCCGCUCGGGGAGAUCGCCGACCAAGCGUUAUCGGGGUUCCGCCGGGUCGUCGACGUCCUCGGCCGCACCGGUCACGCCCGCUUCCGCCGCGGCCCUGCUGGAGCUGCCGCCGCCUCGUUGACUCCCCCUCCUGCCUCUUCUUCACCUCCUAUGCCGGCCCGGCCACCGGCGCCGGCAGCCUCGCAGCACCUGGCAACCCAGAAAAGCCUGACGCUGGACUUCACCAAGCCUUCGAAGGCGCCGGCAGCGGCAGCCGCUGCUUCGGUGACGUCGACGUCUUUCUUCUCGUCGGUGACGGCGGGGGGCGAGGGCACCGUGUCCAAGGGCCCGAGCCAGCUGGUGUCCUCCGGAAAGCCGCCGCUCGCGGCUGGUACCAAACGCAAGCAACAGCAGCAGCAGACGCCCUGCGCGAGCGGCGCGCACUCCGACGUCGCCGCCGCCAGUGGCCGGUGCCACUGCUCCAAGAAGCGCAAGCACCGGGUGAAGUACACGACGCGCGUGCCCGCGGUGAGCUCGCGCACGGCGGACAUCCCCGGCGACGACUACUCGUGGCGCAAGUACGGGCAGAAGCCCAUCAAGGGGUCCCCUUACCCCCGCUGCUACUAUAGGUGCAGCACCGCCAAGGGCUGCCCUGCGCGGAAGCACGUGGAACGCGCCACCGACGACCCCGCCAUGCUCGUCGUCACCUACGAGGGCGACCACCGCCAUGACACUUCGCCGCCGGCCGCCGCAAAUUAA